GCUGCACCACGCGAAUACUCUGCGGGGCUUCCCCUCAUUUCCUGCCCUGUCAGUGCCCGAUUUCCCACUAGGAGCCCCAUGAGAGGAUGGCCCAGCGUCCCGUCGUGUCCCCAGCGAUGGAUACAGACACAGA